CAACAGAAUGUGGAGCAGACAGGUCGAUUAUCAAUCGUUUUUUAUUGUUAUAUUUUCCGGUUGCAAUACCCAAGCGGUUGGUUCACCAACAUGUGAACGGUGGAAUUUAAAAUGGCCCAAGCAUAAAGCCUUUCUCUACUUCUGUUCGUAGCAGGUUGUCUACGAUAGUUGGUUCCAUAGUGGUUGAUUGUAGGUUGUUACACUCGAGUGUGCCUGUUGGUGGUGCGAUUAAUCCUGUGUGGAACACCUCCG